ACAACAGCCGAGCAUGUUUCUUUUCGUAAUCCUACUGAGCCUGUCCAUGCUUAUCAACAUACCAAGCCCGUUAUUGCUAAUCAACCUACGAAGACCGUUCAUGGUAAUCAAUCUACCGAGCCCAUUCGUGAUUGUCAGCAUACUAAACCGAUUGUUGCUGCUUCUAAACCUUCAACAGAAAAAAUAAAAGUAUCAAAAGAAAAAAUAAAAGUAUUAGAACUUUUAGAAAUGGCGAGAUCCAGGCCUCAAAACAUAUAUAGAUUAGCACAAAAAGUGGCACUUCAUUCUGAAAAAGCCUUGUUUACGGUUUUUACUUCGCCAACUGGGAUGUAUGAGGAACGUGUUCAAGAGACGGUUGAAUUUGAGGCGGUUAUACAGUUAUGUGUCAACGGUUGGGCGGAUGUUUGCUUUGUGCAUUGGUUCACAAUGUAUUUAUAUGCAGCUGGGGAACGGGAGGGUUUAAAUAAUACUGCAUAUUUUCAUCCCCGUUAUAUUGAAGGUGAACUUGUCUCAGAUGACGGUGACUUUGUGAUUGACCAUAUCAAAAAGGUCAUCUCUUUUCAGAAGGACAAACAAUGGUUUAUUGCACCGUACAUAGCCAGGAAACACUGGGUACUAAUUAUACUUCAACAUCAUCCGGUAUAUAAAACUUGGAAGGGUUAAAGUAUGACGUGGGCUAAGGUUAAAGUAUGACGUGGGCUAAGGUUAAAGUAAUUAGACCAUUUUACGCAGGAAACACUGGGUACUAAUUAUUCGAACAGGCCAUAGAAGAAAAUAUGACGUGGGCUAAGGUUAAAUGUCGUCUACAACCUAAUGGAUGGGAGUGUGGUUAUUGUGUUAUGUUGGCUAUGUAUGAUUUUGUGAUUCGUAACAGAGAACAUAUGCUGGCAAAUAAAACUAAAAUGGUUCGUCAAGGUGAAAUUAAUGAAUUUGUAGAGCGUACUUUAAAGGUGUUUAUAUCAUCUUUUGGUGACGUUGAGGAUGAGAAGGAUCAA